GACAGAGGUGCCAAGCGUUAGGCGGAAUCACUGGGCUUAAAGCGUGUGUAGGCGGAAUGGUAAGUACCUUGUGAAAUCCCACGGCUCAACCGUGGAACUGCUUGGUAUACUGCUUUUCUUGAGCCACUUAGGGGCUGUCGGAACAAACGGUGGAGCGGUGAAAUGCGUAGAUAUCAGGAGGAACACCGGUGGCGAAGGCGGGCUCUGGGCCGAUACUGACGCUGAGGAGCGAAAGCGUGGGGAGCGAACAGG
rnacentral:rRNA from 1 species